rnacentral:rRNA from 1 species
CGUACGAGUUCUCGUUGAUGAUCGGUGCUUGCACCGAGAUUCAACAUGGGAACGAGUGGCGGACGGGUGAGUAACACGUGGGUAACCUGCCCUUAAGUGGGGGAUAACAUUUGGAAACAGAUGCUAAUACCGCAUAGAUCCAAGAACCGCAUGGUUCUUGGCUGAAAGAUGGCGUAAGCUAUCGCUUUUGGAUGGACCCGCGGCGUAUUAGCUAGUUGGUGAGGUAAUGGCUCACCAAGGCGAUGAUACGUAGCCGAACUGAGAGGUUGAUCGGCCACAUUGGGACUGAGACACGGCCCAAACUCCUACGGGAGGCAGCAGUAGGGAAUCUUCCACAAUGGACGCAAGUCUGAUGGAGCAACGCCGCGUGAGUGAAGAAGGCUUUCGGGUCGUAAAACUCUGUUGUUGGAGAAGAAUGGUCGGCAGAGUAACUGUUGUCGGCGUGACGGUAUCCAACCAGAAAGCCACGGCUAACUACGUGCCAGCAGCCGCGGUAAUACGUAGGUGGCAAGCGUUAUCCGGAUUUAUUGGGCGUAAAGCGAGCGCAGGCGGUUUUUUAAGUCUGAUGUGAAAGCCCUCGGCUUAACCGAGGAAGCGCAUCGGAAACUGGGAAACUUGAGUGCAGAAGAGGACAGUGGAACUCCAUGUGUAGCGGUGAAAUGCGUAGAUAUAUGGAAGAACACCAGUGGCGAAGGCGGCUGUCUGGUCUGUAACUGACGCUGAGGCUCGAAAGCAUGGGUAGCGAACAGGAUUAGAUACCCUGGUAGUCCAUGCCGUAAACGAUGAAUGCUAGGUGUUGGAGGGUUUCCGCCCUUCAGUG